rnacentral:rRNA from 1 species
CCUACGGGUGGCAGCAGUGAGGAAUAUUGGUCAAUGGUCGGGAGACUGAACCAGCCAAGCCGCGUGAGGGAUGAAGGUACAGAGUAUCGUAAACCUCUUUUGUCAGGGAACAAAGGCGGGGACGUGUCCCCGGAUGAGUGUACCUGAAGAAAAAGCAUCGGCUAACUCCGUGCCAGCAGCCGCGGUAAUACGGAGGAUGCGAGCGUUAUCCGGAUUUAUUGGGUUUAACGGGUGGGCAGGCGGUCUGUUAAGUCAGCGGUAAAAGCCCGGGGCUCAACCCCGGCCCGCCGUUGAAACUGGCAGUCUCGAGUUGGAGAGAAGGAUGCGGAAUGCGCGGUGUAGCGGUGAAAUGCAUAGAUAUCGCGCAGAACUCCGAUUGCGAAGGCAGCAUGCCGGCUCCACACUGACGCUGAGGCACGAAAGCGUGGGUAUCGAACAGGAUUAGAUACCCGUGUAGUC